rnacentral:piRNA from 1 species
UGCCACUACGAUUUGGUAUCUUAAGAAGUGU